UUGACCUCGGAUCAGGUAGGAAUACCCGCUGAACUUAAGCAUAUCAAUAAGCGGAGGAAAAGAAACCAACAGGGAUUGCCCUAGUAACGGCGAGUGAAGCGGCAACAGCUCAAAUUUGAAAUCUGGCUCUCGGGCCCGAGUUGUAAUUUGUAGAGGAUACUUUUGAUGCGGUGCCUUCCGAGUUCCCUGGAACGGGACGCCAUAGAGGGUGAGAGCCCCGUCUGGUUGGAUGCCAAAUCUCUGUAAAGUUCCUUCGACGAGUCGAGUAGUUUGGGAAUGCUGCUCUAAAUGGGAGGUAUAUGUCUUCUAAAGCUAAAUACCGGCCAGAGACCGAUAGCGCACAAGUAGAGUGAUCGAAAGAUGAAAAGCACUUUGAAAAGAGAGUUAAAAAGUACGUGAAAUUGUUGAAAGGGAAGCGUUUAUGACCAGACUUGGGCUUGGUUAAUCAUCUGGGGUUCUCCCCAGUGCACUUUUCCAGUCCAGGCCAGCAUCAGUUUUCCCCGGGGGAUAAAGACUUCGGGAAUGUGGCUCUCUUCGGGGAGUGUUAUAGCCCGUUGUGUAAUACCCUGGGGGGGACUGAGGUUCGCGCAUCUGCAAGGAUGCUGGCGUAAGGUC
rnacentral:rRNA from 1 species